rnacentral:rRNA from 1 species
AUUGAACGCUGGCGGAAUGCUUUACACAUGCAAGUCGAACGAUGAACCUUAGCUUGCUAAGGGGAUUAGUGGCGAACGGGUGAGUAAUAUAUCGGAACGUGCCUUGUAAUGGGGGAUAACUAGUCGAAAGAUUAGCUAAUACCGCAUACGCCCUGAGGGGGAAAGUAGGGGAUCUUCGGACCUUACGUUAUAAGAGCGGCCGAUAUCUGAUUAGCUAGUUGGUGGGGUAAUGGCCUACCAAGGCGACGAUCAGUAGCUGGUCUGAGAGGACGACCAGCCACACUGGAACUGAGACACGGUCCAGACUCCUACGGGAGGCAGCAGUGGGGAAUUUUGGACAAUGGGCGCAAGCCUGAUCCAGCCAUUCCGCGUGAGUGAAGAAGGCCUUCGGGUUGUAAAGCUCUUUCGCAAGGGAAGAAAACGUACCAUCGAAUAAAUGGUGAGGCUGACGGUACCUUGAUAAGAAGCACCGGCUAACUACGUG